GUAAAAAUAAAAUAAAUAAAAAAGAUCCAAGUCCCUGACAAUGGCUCACAAGGCAUUUACUGUUCCUCCUGCCUGAAAUACCCUUCCUUGCCUUUUUACUUGGGUAAUAUCUACUCAUCUUUCAAGUUCUAGCUUAAAUGCAACUUCCUCCAGGAAGCCUUCCCUGGCCUAUACCCUAAUCUGGGUUUAGGUCCCUUCUCCAUGCUCCCAUGAUAUCCUGCUCUUUCUCUUACAUAGUACACAUCGCACUGCAUUGUAAUUGCCUAGUUACUGGACCGUGAACUCCUUGAGGGCAGGAAUGUGCCUUCCUUAUCACUGUAUCCCUCUCUUGCGCAUAGCACAGGGCCUAGAGCAGUGCAUUUAAGUAACUAUAUGGUGGACUGAUUCAAGUUGCAGACUGAGCCUGGCCUGCAUACAUGUAGGGAUAUGAUAUCCACCUUGGCUGCGACCCUGGAAGCCAAUACAACUAGGAAGCUAGAUGCUAUCAUGUCUUAGCAAUUUUCGUUUUUUGUUCAGUUGUUCCACAAUUACUCUGGUGAAACAUCAAGGACAAUCUCUGUUCUUAGAGAAAUCCUUGGUAAGAGGAACCCCUCAUUCAGCAUAUACUUACUGAGCAUGUGCUAUGAGCCAGACACUAGGCUAGAUGCUAGACACCUGCUGCUGGAUAGGAUGUUACAUACACAGGAGUUGUGGAGUUUACAUUCCAGCAUGGGUGAUGGUCAUUUAGUGCAUAAAAACGCAAUAAGUUACUUAAUUGCCAUUGUGAACAUUCGGGAAAGUAGGGGCAGAGGAGGGAAACAUGCAGGUGGAAAAAAUGAAAAGCAAAUGUCUUGAGCUGAAAAGGCAAUGCAUGGAGCAUUUCACGAACUAAAAGGAGGCUACUGUGGCUGCAGCACAAGAGGGAGGCAGAGAGAAGUGCUCCAAGGUUGGAGAGACAGGCAGGGGCCAGAACAGAUUGGCCCUUCACCUUCUCCCCAUGCCACCCCACAAUCCCAGAAACUAUCUCCAAUGGCUUCACUCUUAGGCUACAUGCUCCAUAUUUAUUACUUUUUUAGGACUGUGAGCUUGCUCUUCUCCUCACUUGAACCAACUUUUCCUUCCCCCAUCAUUGAAGUCUUAUUCAUUCUUCAAUACCAAGCUCAGAGCUUUCCUCCACCACGAAGAAUAAGAACUCCAAGAGUCACAACCAACAAGAAGUGAAAAAUGGCACAGAUGUGAUUGGGGAAUAGUGAACAGUUCAGCUUAAAUUGGACAACAGAUGCUUUUCUAGGGAGUUCAGGUCAGAACAUGACAGAUCUUGGCAUUUCUAAGUGAUUUAUAAGGGAGACAGUAUAAAGGGUGUUUAAGAACAUACACUUUGGAGGUAGUCAGACCUGAUUUAAAAUCUGGGCUCCCUACUUUAUUAGCUGUGUAACCUAGAGGAAGCUCCCUCACCUCUUUGAAUCUCAGUUGUUUUUUUUAAAGCAGGGGUAAUUAAACCUACCUCAUAGGUAUUGGCUUGUUACAGACUAACAGAGGGUUGUUAAGGAUCUAAAUAGACAAUGCAUGCAAGGCACUUAUAACAGUGUCAUGCCAUGGUAAGUGUUAAACAAAUGUUAUCAUUGUUAAUAUUAUUAUCAUCAUCCUUCUCAUUCUUUUUAAAUUAAAUUGUAAGUUCAUUAAAUGAGAUAACGUGCAAAUCCUAGCACAAUGUAUAUCUCACGGUAAAUUAUCAAUAAAUGCAAGUUUCUUCUUUUCCUCCAAUCUCUUUUAUAAACAAGGGACCAUGUCUUUCAUUUCUUUUGCAGGUACUUAGUGAGCCCUCAAUCAAUAUUCAUUGAACACUGAAUAAAUAUUGUUCUCCCCUCUACUAUCUAGCACUGUGUUAUGUACAUUGUUGAAGGCUAAUGGUAUUCUGGAUAAUAUUUGCAUUUUUAUUUUUCAAACUCAGAAUGGGACUAGGAAGAAAACCUGGGGCCAAAUUUAUAUAAAAUACCUUAAGGUAAGGAAGAUCUUAAUAGCUGGAAAAAGACUUGGCAUGGCAACUGUUUUUCUAUUCUCAUUCAACUUUUAAGAAAAUAUUAAUGGAAUUACAGGGAAACGAAUCUAAUUUAACUCCAACUGCCCCACUGCGGAGGGUGACUCAAAGGACCGAAUGACCAGCAACUGUGGUAAUUUGAGGGAAACUGAGGCAGAUGGAUGGAUGAGGACUGACCUUCUACCAACAUCCGUCUCUCCCUUUGGGGUCACUUAUGGAUGGCACUUGGGACCCAAGAUACUCCUGAGCUUUAGACAGAAAUGGCUGGUAACACUUCUUCCCCUUCUUGCUGCUGGAAUAUGGACACAAUAUGGGAGCCACCAUCUUGUGAACAUGAAGGAGAGGCCAAGAGAAUCACAGAACAGCUGAUCCUGGUUUCACUGAACCAGGAGCCACUGUGUGCCUCCACUUUCCUUAU